AAAGGAUCAUCAUCAUUUUUAGCAACAUAUGUGGGAUUGAUUCAAAAUAAUUAAUUCACAUUCACAAUACCUCAUUAGAGACUUUUACAAUAAUAUCUCACUCUAUUACCACAUUCUCAACCACUUAUCCUUAGUCUAAAACAGCACUUUAACAUAUUGUUACAAACUAAGCGCUAGGCAUUGAAUCACUGACCUACUUGUUCAGCCAAUUUUAAUAACAAGACUUAUGUUAUUCAUUGCUG